UAAAAUAGAACAAAUUGAAAACGAAAUAAUAUGCAUUUGUGAUAGCACGAUACAGAAAAGGUCUAUGCACAGCAUUUAACCGAAAAUUGGAAAUGUAAAAACACGAAUCGUAAAGCGUAGUUCUCCCGACAAACGUAGCCUAACAUUAAACGUGACUGUGCUAUAAGUUAUGUGCGGAUUCAGUGUAAGGCAAGUUGCUUAACUUGUUUAAAAGGAAAUAAACUUUAUUUAAUGCCAUAACGACCUUCUUCAAAGAAGAUUGCGAGGCUGAAAACCAUAUUGGAAGUCCAUAAUCGAAAAUUAGUAAUUAAAAAAAAGCUCGGUCUUGGUACCGAUCUUGAUGCAAAGCUGUGACAGUUUCUCCACAGAAUAUCACGUUUAACGGCUAAAGCUUUAAUUGCCCUUUCAACACGAUUAUUAAAAGUUAUUUUUCCAUCAGACACAAUUCCUAUUUUGUGUUUUACGAUGACAAACAUGAGCCGUAGUAGCAACUCUAUACGAAAGCAGAAACUAACG